GGAUAUAGCUCAGUUGGUAGAGUGCUUGCCUUGCAUGCACAAGGCCCUGGGUUCAAUCCCCAGCACCA
rnacentral:tRNA from 1 species